rnacentral:rRNA from 1 species
CAGGGCAGCCGCAUCACCCUGGUCAUGCCCGAUCUUGGUGGAUCGCUGCAGCUGAGCAGGGCCAGGUCUGAAUAGUACUUGGGUGGGGAACCACCUGAGAAUACCAGGUGUUGUGA